rnacentral:rRNA from 1 species
GAAUGCUGACAUAAGUAACGAUAAAGCGGGUGAAAAGCCCGCUCGCCGGAAGACCAAGGGUUCCUGUCCAACGUUAAUCGGGGCAGGGUGAGUCGACCCCUAAGGCGAGGCCGAAAGGCGUAGUCGAUGGGAAACAGGUUAAUAUUCCUGUACUUGGUGUUACUGCGAAGGGGGGACGGAGAAGGCUAUGUUGGCCGGGCGACGGUUGUCCCGGUUUAAGCGUGUAGGCUGGUUUUCCAGGCAAAUCCGGAAAAUCAAGGCUGAGGCGUGAUGACGAGGCACUACGGUGCUGAAGCAACAAAUGCCCUGCUUCCAGGAAAAGCCUCUAAGCAUCAGGUAACAUCAAAUCGUACCCCAAACCGACACAGGUGGUCAGGUAGAGAAUACCAAGGCGCUUGAGAGAACUCGGGUGAAGGAACUAGGCAAAAUGGUGCCGUAACUUCGGGAGAAGGCACGCUGAUACGUAGGUGAAGUCCCUUGCGG